GAUGAACGCUAGCGACAGGCUUAACACAUGCAAGUCGAGGGGCAGCAUAAAAGUAGCAAUACUUUGGUGGCGACCGGCGCACGGGUGAGUAACGCGUAUGCAACCUACCUAUCAGAGGGGAAUAACCCGGCGAAAGUCGGACUAAUACCGCAUAAAACAGGGGCACCGCAUGGUGAUAUUUGUUAAAGAAAUUCGCUGAUAGAUGGGCAUGCGUUCCAUUAGGUAGUUGGUGAGGUAACGGCUCACCAAGCCGACGAUGGUUAGGGGAACUGAGAGGUUGGUCCCCCACACUGGUACUGAGACACGGACCAGACUCCUACGGGAGGCAGCAGUGAGGAAUAUUGGUCAAUGGGCGGGAGCCUGAACCAGCCAAGUCGCGUGAAGGAAGAAGGAUCUAUGGUUCGUAAACUUCUUUUGCAGGGGAAUAAAGUGCAGGGCGUGUCCUGUUUUGUAUGUACCCUGAGAAUAAGGAUCGGCUAACUCCGUGCCAGCAGCCGCGGUAACAC
rnacentral:rRNA from 1 species